AGUUUGGCCCGACAGUUGGUGCUGCGAUCAAAUUGCGAAAAAUAUUUGAAAUUUUGUGUUAUGGCAAAACAACGUUUGUGGGGUCAGCUAGUUUUAUAUAAAUAAAUAUAUUUUUAACCGACUUCCAAAAAAGGAGGAGGUUCUCAAUUCGACUGUAUUUUUUUUUUUUUUUUUUUUUUUUUUUUUUUUUUUUUUUUUUUUUUUUUUUUAAUUUUUUAAAAAAAAAAUUUUUUUCAAAUUUUGAAAAAAAAAUUUUUUUU
rnacentral:misc_RNA from 1 species